rnacentral:rRNA from 1 species
UACGUAGGGCGCAAGCGUUGUCCGGAAUUAUUGGGCGUAAAGAGCUCGUAGGCGGUUUGUCACGUCGGAUGUGAAAGCCCGGGGCUUAACCCCGGGUCUGCAUUCGAUACGGGCAGACUAGAGUGUGGUAGGGGAGAUCGGAAUUCCUGGUGUAGCGGUGAAAUGCGCAGAUAUCAGGAGGAACACCGGUGGCGAAGGCGACUACCUGGCCUGUUCUUGACGCUGAGGCGCGAAAGCUAGGGGAGCAAACGGG